ACAGAGGAUAGAGAGUAAGAGAGGAAGGAGGAACCAGACAGGGGUCUUUCUGAAGUGCCUUAUAGUUCAGUGAGUAGUUUGACCGGCGAUUCAUUCAGUUUGCCCAGACGACCUCGAACAAAUGGAGGAUUCUGAGAAUAUCACAGUGGCCAGAGAUACAGAGGACACACAGGACGUACAUGACCAGGACUCCACUGAGCCCCAGGAGACAAAAUGUACCGCAGCUGUCUCAAAGCCAGAAACUACAGGGGGCGGAGCUAAUGAGGAAAACAAAGAAGAUGAGGAGGAGACAAAACCUAAAUCCAAUGAGAGUGAGGCAUGUGAGCAAGAAGGCGGAGUCACAGAGAAUGUCAACACAGUUAGAGAGGAAGAGAAAGAGACAGAAGUGACGAAAAAAAACGAGGAGGUCACAGAAGAAAAAGUUAAGGAACCAAACAAUGAGGCGAGAGUUAAUGAGGAAGGAAAUGAGAGUAACAAUGAGUCUCUCGCAAAAGAAAAUCAUAUCGAUAAAGCUGAUGACAUCUGUGAGGAGAAAGGAAAACUUGAGGAGAAGAACAAAGGAGACGAGAGGGCAAAUGACUCUGUAGGUCAAACUAAAAAGACAGAGGAGGUCACAGAUACAAAAGAGAUUAAACAAAAUAAAGAUCAUGUCCAGGACAAACAAAACAAUACUGGAAGGAAAAGCGCAACUACUUCUGCCCCUAGAGCUCCAAUAAAGUCAUCAGUAUGUGCACGUGGGGCGCGCCCCUCAGCCAGAAGAGAUGCCAUGGCUAAGUUUCAGAAGGAGCAGACCCCAGGAGUUCGAAACUUUAAAGUUCAGCGGACGUCUAUAGGCAUGGCCGGCGGAGCAUCAAUUAAACAGAAAAUUCUCCAGUGGUGCAUAAACAAAACACAGGCAUAUGAGGGUGUCAACAUAGAAAACUUCUCUUCAUCUUGGAGUGAUGGCCUGGCAUUCUGUGCGCUCAUUCAUCGCUUCUUUCCAACCGCAUUUGACUUCUCCUCUCUUAAAGCUAGUGAACAUGAGAAAAACUUCACCCUGGCCUUCAGCACAGCAGAGUCUCUUGCUGACUGCUGCCCCCUUCUGGAAGUGUCAGAUAUGUUACUAAUGGGUAAACAUCCAGACCCUAUGUGUGUUUUCACCUAUGUGCAGUCCCUUUGUCAUCAUCUCUCAAAGAUAGACAAAGAGAGGAAAGAGAAAAAGAAAAAAGAAGAUCAAGAGGCGGCUCACGAACAAGGAGAUGAAGAGAAAGAUGAGAGCGAACAACAUGAGGAAAAUCAAUCUGAUUCUAGUACGAAGACAGAAAAGGAGACGGAUCAGAAUCAAAAUGGGUGUGGUCCUGGUCAAGACAAUCUCCUGAAAUCCAAACUGAAUGUCAGAAUGGGAAAGAAAGGUGAUUUAAGCAAUUUUGAGUGUGGCAUGGUUGUUGGUGAAAGACGGGCCGGUCUGAGUAUUUCACAAUCUGCUCAGUUACUGGGAUUUUCACGCACAACCAUUUCUAGGUUUUACAAAGAAUGGUGUGAAAAAGGAAAAACAUCCAGUAUGAGGCAGUCCUGUGUGCGAAAAUGCCUUGUUGAUGCUCGAGGUCAGAGGAGAAUGGGCCGACUGAUUCAAGCUGAUAGAAGAGCAACUUUGACUGAAAUAACCACUUGUUACAACCGAGGUAUGCAGCAAAGCAUUUGUGAAGCCACAACACGCACAACCUUGAGGCGGAUGGGCUACAACAGCAGAAGACCCUACCGGGUACCACGCAUCUCCACUACAAAUAGGAAAAAGAGGCUACAAUUUGCACAAGCUUACCAAAAUUGGACAGUUGAAGGAUUUGUCGUAAACAGAAUAAGAACAUGGAUCCAUCAUGCCUUGUUACCACUGUGCAGGCUGGUGGUGGUGGUGUAAUGGUGUGGGAGAUGUUUUCUUGGCACACUUUAGGCCCCUUAGUGCCAAUUGGGCAUUGUUUAAAUGCCACGGCCUACCUGAGCAUUGUUUCUGACCAUGUCCAUCCCUUUAUGACCACCAUGUACCCAUCCUCUGAUGGCUACUUCCAGCAGGAUAAUGCACCAUGUCACAAAGCUCGAAUCAUUUCAAAUUUGUUUCUUGAACAUGACAGUCACCAGAUCUCAACCAAAUAGAUAUUAAACUAGACAUGCCUUUCCAUCUUAAAUUGAAAUGGUCCUACAAAAGAAAAAAUAGUUGUAAAAAUGUACCAUAAGGUUUACAAUAUGCACAAUUAACUAACAUGAACAAUUGUAUUGGCAUUAACAAACAUUACCAAAGAGUAAUAAAUGCUGAAAAACUAUAUUGUAAAUUGUUGGUUCAUGUUAACAAAUACAACAUUAUUGUAAAGUGUUACAGUAAGUUCAUACAAGAGCAGGAGUUUUAUAUUACAUAAAGAUUUUGCAAUAAUACCAUACCAUGAUAGCAAAAAUUAAACAAGCUUGACACAUUGCAGUCCAUUUACAGGUCUGUACAAAAUGGAUUUGUAAAGUGUAAUUGUAAAACAAAAACAUAAUGAAUAUAAUUUUUAAAUCAUCAAUAACCUUGAAGUGAAGAGCUUGUCUCUCUAUCCGAGUGACUUCAAUAACAGAAGCCACGAUGAACCGUGCCAGCAAUUUUUGUUUUAUGGCCUAAGAACAUGAAACCACCCAGGGGUCUCUGCUACAUGCCAUAAAUCACUUCAUAGUAGCUACACAGGAUAUUUGUUCCGGUGUUUACUUAAGCAUAUAGCAACAGGGAGGAAAACAAAAGCGGAUAACAAUCACAAACAAGUUCACAUGUAAUUCGACCUUGAUAACUUUAAAGCUGUUGACAUAUCAAGCAAAUAUGUCUCUGUGUUUUACUUUCACAUCAUCUUCUAGUCAUUUGCUGCUAUAUAUACACAGUGUAAUACUAUCCCUGCUUCAUUUGCACUGCUCUCCCUUUCUUUCGUUCACUCUCUUGCUCUAUCGUAUUUCUCUGGGUAUGGCUGGUAUGAGUCUGGUUAAAUGAUCUUGAUGUGGUCCCUUCAGACACCAACUCUUGGAGUGCUGUUAAAACACCCACGGAGAGAGAGCUGGGAAUAAAAAAACAGAUGAAAGUUAGAAACAAGAGAAGAUGAAGAAAUCAGCGAGUGUGUCUAUGGGGUAAAAGUUCUGGAGUGCCUUUUGGUAGAUUUCACACUCUCUGCAAAUUGUUUCAUCUAUCAAGAUCAACCGAGAAGACCACAGAUCGCCUUAAGACACACAAGAUCAUGCAAUACUAAGGAAAUGCUGACAAGUGGAACAUUAAUCUUCGUUGGAUGCACUAUGGAAAUUAAUCAUUGUUCAUUUUAAUUUCCUAGGAGGAGGUGGUUUUAAAUUGGCAAGUCAGAAGUGAGAAUAACUUCCAGUUAACCAUUAAUUGAAUUUCGCCAUGGAAUCAUUUGAUCCAGAGUCCACUAUAUACAUGGAUUCGGAUAACUCUACUACGCCCGCUCCACCUACGCUGAUAUCCCGUAAAACGACCCAUUACCGUGACCAUGGCGGCUUUAGAUAUGGCUUUGGGGUUGCGUGGAAACAUCUCCGGCCCUUCAUUCCCUUCUUUUUGAUCUCCUGCCUAGUGGUGGUUGUGGUCUACCUGCUGCAGGCCAUUGUGUAUGGAGGGCCCUUUAAGGACCCACUGUUCUUUAGCAAAUUUGAGAAACGUUGGCCACCACCUGCUCAGCAGAUAGUCUUCACAGAGUCUGCACAGAAAUCAUCUGGUAUAUUUUAAGGCUAUGGAGCAUCGAUGCUGUUGAGAGGACAACCAGAAACUUUGUCCGGGUCCUGUGAUAAGCAAAUUUGCAGACAUAAAAGAGGAGCCACUGUACAAUGCAAAGAAGGCUAAAUCAACCCAGUCAGAGAAGAUUUCCCAGGAAACUUUCAGCCAAUCACAUAAACAAGCACAAGUACUCUUUCACAAAAAUCAAGAAAUAUAAUCAUGAUUUCUGUGUUACUUGCAACCAAUUUUAUCCAGUCAGCAUAUCCAGUCAUUUCUGAAUAGCCAUAAAAGGAGAAAAAAUGUUUUCCCACAGAAUGGUUUAUUCAUGGCAUUUACCAGCAGGGGCUCACUGGAUCAAGAAAAAUAAGCCAUCCUGAACCACAAUUACAACCUACUGUAGACAAUAAAAAAUAUGUUUGCUUCAUGCUUCAUAA